rnacentral:rRNA from 1 species
AGAGGUUGAUCAUGGCUCAGAUUGAACGCUGGCGGCAGGCCUAACACAUGCAAGUCGAACGGUAACAGGAAACAGCUUGCUGUUUCGCUGACGAGUGGCGGACGGGUGAGUAAUGUCUGGGAAACUGCCUGAUGGAGGGGGAUAACUACUGGAAACGGUAGCUAAUACCGCAUAACGUCGCAAGACCAAAGAGGGGGACCUUCGGGCCUCUUGCCAUCAGAUGUGCCCAGAUGGGAUUAGCUAGUAGGUGGGGUAACGGCUCACCUAGGCGACGAUCCCUAGCUGGUCUGAGAGGAUGACCAGCCACACUGGAACUGAGACACGGUCCAGACUCCUACGGGAGGCAGCAGUGGGGAAUAUUGCACAAUGGGCGCAAGCCUGAUGCAGCCAUGCCGCGUGUAUGAAGAAGGCCUUCGGGUUGUAAAGUACUUUCAGCGGGGAGGAAGGGAGUAAAGUUAAUACCUUUGCUCAUUGACGUUACCCGCAGAAGAAGCACCGGCUAACUCCGUGCCAGCAGCCGCGGUAAUACGGAGGGUGCAAGCGUUAAUCGGAAUUACUGGGCGUAAAGCGCACGCAGGCGGUUUGUUAAGUCAGAUGUGAAAUCCCCGGGCUCAACCUGGGAACUGCAUCUGAUACUGGCAAGCUUGAGUCUCGUAGAGGGGGGUAGAAUUCCAGGUGUAGCGGUGAAAUGCGUAGAGAUCUGGAGGAAUACCGGUGGCGAAGGCGGCCCCCUGGACGAAGACUGACGCUCAGGUGCGAAAGCGUGGGGAGCAAACAGGAUUAGAUACCCUGGUAGUCCACGCCGUAAACGAUGUCGACUUGGAGGUUGUGCCCUUGAGGCGUGGCUUCCGGAGCUAACGCGUUAAGUCGACCGCCUGGGGAGUACGGCCGCAAGGUUAAAACUCAAAUGAAUUGACGGGGGCCCGCACAAGCGGUGGAGCAUGUGGUUUAAUUCGAUGCAACGCGAAGAACCUUACCUGGUCUUGACAUCCACGGAAGUUUUCAGAGAUGAGAAUGUGCCUUCAGGAACCGUGAGACAGGUGCUGCAUGGCUGUCGUCAGCUCGUGUUGUGAAAUGUUGGGUUAAGUCCCGCAACGAGCGCAACCCUUAUCCUUUGUUGCCAGCGGUCCGGCCGGGAACUCAAAGGAGACUGCCAGUGAUAAACUGGAGGAAGGUGGGGAUGACGUCAAGUCAUCAUGGCCCUUACGACCAGGGCUACACACGUGCUACAAUGGCGCAUACAAAGAGAAGCGACCUCGCGAGAGCAAGCGGACCUCAUAAAGUGCGUCGUAGUCCGGAUUGGAGUCUGCAACUCGACUCCAUGAAGUCGGAAUCGCUAGUAAUCGUGGAUCAGAAUGCCACGGUGAAUACGUUCCCGGGCCUUGUACACACCGCCCGUCACACCAUGGGAGUGGGUUGCAAAAGAAGUAGGUAGCUUAACCUUCGGGAGGGCGCUUACCACUUUGUGAUUCAUGACUGGGGUGAAGUCGUAACAAGGUAACCGUAGGGGAACCUGCGGUUG